ACCAGGUUACAUUAUCAAACUAAUUGUACACACACAAUCAAUUCUCAUUCAACCUAAUUGACACCCGCAAUCCAUCUCAUUUCAUUAAUCGUCUGCUGCUUUUCGUCUUCCCGAUCGGCGCCACUAGCCUUGCUGCCACUGCGCCACCGCCGCCGCUCUUCGCUCGUCCCCGGCGCUGCUCUUCGCUGGUGAAUGCUGGACAGAAAGAAGCAGCAAGUAAUAGCAGUGAGGAGGCUAUAGUAUAUGUUAGGUCAGAAGAUGAAUUUUUUUUUUCAUCAGCUCAGUUCGUGGUCCUUUAGGUUCCCAUUGCACACUCAGCGGCUUGCAUCUCAUGAGGUUGUUUCUUUGAGGAUUUCAACUUGUAACACCUUGGUCACAGCAUUGUGAAAAAACGAUUUAGCGCAAUCCCUGGCAUGCAUGUUGUCAUAUCUCCUCAGAGCCAGUUCCGUGAUGAAGACAUAUUGCUUGAGUCAGAGGUUCUUUAAUUCUUCAUCCCCUCUGGUCUCUGUACAACUUCCAUCUCAAACGGAAACCCAUUUUUGGUACAUUUUACCAAAUGAAGUGAAGAAUGCAUCCCUUCUAAAUCAAUACUUGGAACUUCUAUCACCGUGCGAGAGAGAAAAUGUUUUCAGCAUGUAUGGAGAGGACCU